ensembl:snoRNA
UCAGACUUACUCAACACCCAGCUAUUCACCAGGCGGGUGAUUUUGCUCACUGCCAGAGAAACAUUCAGGGUGCUGUGGCUGCCUGGAUCUGUCAGGGACAAUGCAGCUGCCAGGGGACAGAGGG